AGAGUUUGAUCAUGGCUCAGAGUGAACGCUGGCGGCAUGCCUAACACAUGCAAGUCGAACGGUAACAGGCCCGCAAGGGUGCUGACGAGUGGCGGACGGGUGAGGAAUACAUCGGAAUUUGCCCAGUCGUGGGGGGAUAACGUAGGGAAACUUACGCUAAUACCGCAUACGACCUAACGGUGAAAGCGGGGGAUCGCAAGACCUCGCGCGAGUGGAUGAGCCGAUGUCGGAUUAGCUAGUUGGCGGGGUAAAGGCCCACCAAGGCGACGAUCCGUAGCUGGUCUGAGAGGAUGAUCAGCCACACUGGGACUGAGACACGGCCCAGACUCCUACGGGAGGCAGCAGUGGGGAAUAUUGGACAAUGGGGGCAACCCUGAUCCAGCAAUGCCGCGUGUGUGAAGAAGGCCUUCGGGUUGUAAAGCACUUUUAUCCGGAACGAAACGCGCAGGGUGAAUAUCCUUGCGAACUGACGGUACCGGAGGAAUAAGCACCGGCUAACUUCGUGCCAGCAGCCGCGGUAAUACGAAGGGUGCAAGCGUUACUCGGAAUUACUGGGCGUAAAGGGUGCGUAGGUGGUUGUUUAAGUCUGUUGUGAAAGCCCCGGGCUCAACCUGGGAAUGGCAAUGGAUACUGGACAGCUAGAGUGCGGUAGAGGGUAGUGGAAUUCCCGGUGUAGCAGUGAAAUGCGUAGAGAUCGGGAGGAACACCAGUGGCGAAGGCGGCUACCUGGACCAGCACUGACACUGAAGCACGAAAGCGUGGGGAGCAAACAGGAUUAGAUACCCUAGUAGUCC
rnacentral:rRNA from 1 species